UACGGAAGGCAGCAGUGGGGAAUAUUGCACAAUGGGCGAAAGCCUGAUGCAGCUAUGCCGCGUGUAUGAAGAAGGCCUUAGGGUUGUAAAGUACUUUCAUCGGGGAGGAAAAACAAAACUAAUAAUUUUAUUUCUUGACGUUACCCGAAAAAGAAGCACCGGCUAACUCCGUGCCAGCAGCCGCGGUAAUACGGAGGGUGCUAGCGUUAAUCAGAAUUACUGGGCGUAAAGAGCACGUAGGUGGUUUUUUUAAGUCAGAUGUGAAAUCCCUGGGCUUAACCUGGAACUGCAUUUUGAAACUGAAAUACUAGAGUAUCGUAGAGGGAGGUAGAAUUCUAGGUGUAGCGGUGAAAUGCGUAGAUAUCUGGAGGAAUACCUGUGGCGAAAGCGGCCUCCUAAACGAAUACUGACACUGAGGGUGCGAAAGCGUGGGGAGCAAACAGGGAUUAGAUACCCG
rnacentral:rRNA from 1 species